rnacentral:rRNA from 1 species
AGUGAACGCUGGCGGUAGGCCUAACACAUGCAAGUCGAACGGCAGCACAGUAAGAGCUUGCUCUUACGGGUGGCGAGUGGCGGACGGGUGAGGAAUACAUCGGAAUCUACUUUUUCGUGGGGGAUAACGUAGGGAAACUUACGCUAAUACCGCAUACGACCUACGGGUGAAAGCAGGGGAUCUUCGGACCUUGCGCGAUUGAAUGAGCCGAUGUCGGAUUAGCUAGUUGGCGGGGUAAAGGCCCACCAAGGCGACGAUCCGUAGCUGGUCUGAGAGGAUGAUCAGCCACACUGGAACUGAGACACGGUCCAGACGCCGACGGGAGGCAGCAGUGGGGAAUAUUGGACAAUGGGCGCAAGCCUGAUCCAGCCAUACCGCGUGGGUGAAGAAGGCCUUCGGGUUGUAAAGCCCUUUUGUUGGGAAAGAAAAGCAGCAGGUUAAUACCCCGCUGUUCUGACGGUACCCAAAGAAUAAGCACCGGCUAACUUCGU